UAAUGAGAUCCCUCGGUUGCCUUC
rnacentral:piRNA from 2 species